rfam:Camelus ferus unplaced genomic scaffold scaffold1390, whole genome shotgun sequence.
UGGGGAAUAGCUCAGCGGUAGAGUGCGUGCUUAACAUGAACGAAGCCCUGGGUUCAAUCCCCAGUACCUCCA